AUUGAACGCUGGCGGCAUGCUUUACACAUGCAAGUCGAACGGUAACAGGUUAAGCUGACGAGUGGCGAACGGGUGAGUAAUGCAUCGGAACGUGCCCGAUCGUGGGGGAUAACGCAGCGAAAGCUGCGCUAAUACCGCAUACGAUCGGAGGAUGAAAGCGGGGGACCGUAAGGCCUCGCGCGAUCGGAGCGGCCGAUGUCAGAUUAGGUAGUUGGUGGGGUAAAGGCCCACCAAGCUGACGAUCUGUAGCUGGUUUGAGAGGACGACCAGCCACACUGGGACUGAGACACGGCCCAGACUCCUACGGGAGGCAGCAGUGGGGAAUUUUGGACAAUGGGCGAAAGCCUGAUCCAGCAAUGCCGCGUGCAGGAAGAAGGCCUUCGGGUUGUAAACUGCUUUUGUACGGAGCGAAAAGGUCCUUUCUAAUACAAGGGGCUCAUGACGGUACCGUAAGAAUAAGCACCGGCUAACUACGUGCCAGCCGCCGCGGUAA
rnacentral:rRNA from 1 species